CGAAGCGGUCCCGCCCCCUUCCUGUGCCCCCUUCAGCGCCCCGCCCGGAGUGCAGGAGAUUGUUCAUUCAUUGCCCUGGGCGGGCGCGCAACUGUUCCAUAUUAAGUGGCAGGACAAGAUCAGCAAUGAGGAUUUCAGAGCUGAAUGCAGAAACCACCACCAUCAGUAAUGGUUUGGUUUUGGCUUUUGGUACAGAUGACAUUAGGAUGGAAGACCAAUUAAUUACGGAGUAUGUUUACCAAGGAAUGCUGCUACAUGGCUGGCGAUCAUGGAGCUCAAUUUGCAAAGAAGCUAUAUCCAUUUUGGAUUUGCCAUGGCAAUGAUGAUGUGGCUAAAAUUCCAUGGAGACUUUUUACCAUAUCUCUUCCUGGAAGCAUGCAGGAUGGUGGACAGUGACAUGGAAUAGUGCUUGGUGAAUAAGAGACCAACAAGUAUAGAAUAAAGCUUUCAUUUUGAUAUA